GAUGAUGUGAGAGUGGCAGAGGAGGUCCUCCAGGGUCAAGCUGCAGAGCCAACAGGAGCAAACUUGGACACAUCUCCUCCACAAAAGAAGUCGGCGAUGGCAGAGCUUUUUGGAGAGACCUUUGCCAGCAAAGACAUGGACAGCAAGACUCCUGCUGACAUCAUCAAAGAGGAGGUGGCAUUCUACCUGGCAGCAAGCAGCAUUCCAGUGGAUGGUGAUCCACUGACAUGGUGGAAAAGCAAUGAGUGUACCCUCAUAUUGCUAAGAUGGCAAGAUGCUAUCUCGCUGUGCCAGGCUCUUCAGUUCCUUCCGAGAGAGUGUUCUCAACAGCAGGGGACAUAGUGACUGCAAAGAGGUCCACACUCUCCCCAGACAAUGUAGACACCCUUGUUUUUUUGAAAAAGAAUUUGAAAUUAUAAGCUCAUGUAUGCUUUGUUUUCUUUCUUUAAUUCUUCUUUGAUGAUGUGGACGUAGGCUUUAUGUCACUCUCAUAAAGCUAUUGUUUCAAGGAAGAUGAUGUGCGUUCUUAUGUUGCACUUUAAGUUGUUUUUUAUUAAUGGUCAUUGGUCCAUGUUUAAAGAAAGGAGAUGUGCCUUUUUAUGUUGCACUUUAAGUUGUUUUUUUAUUAAUGGUCAUUGGUCCAUGUUUAAAGAAAGGAGAUGUGCCUUUUUAUGUUGCACUUUAAGUUGUUUUUCAUUAAUAAUGUUGAAAAGAAGAUAUUAAUUGUGCACUUUAAGUUGAUUUUAUAUUGCUAAUAAACAAAAAGACACAACUUAUGUUUGUCGAUUUUUUUUUUUUUUUUUUUUUGCUGAUCC